rnacentral:lncRNA from 1 species
GCCGCCACCACCGUCGUAACCCCCGCACCGAGUUCUCCACCCCCCGCCCCUGAGGUCUGAAACCUCAAAUUUUUGUACUUUUUCUUUGUCGUAAUUUUUUUUUUCCGUUUGUCUUCAAAAAUCAUUCAAUAAAGUGGAAUUUCUUGUUGCGGGCGGCUUUUCCUUCCUCCCCCCUCCUUCUCCCUGCUUUUCUUCCUGUGAUGAA